UGCCAAUGAGGGCAUGAAUUGUGGCAGGACUAAUUCUGGAAUCAGAUGACCAGUUCUUAAUUUGUGCUGCAACCACCAAUGUUGCAUGUUUCAACUUCCAAGCCGUCAGAACGUUUAGUUUGCACAGAAAUAUAUAUUCAGUAACGUACGGUGUGGAAUUGUUUUAUGUUUAAAUAGGAAUAUGUAGCACUGCAUUCCCAUCACACGAUUGUUCUCCAAAUGGAAGGAGCUAGAUACAUAGAACGCAUGUGUUAGAUGAUCUACUGUAUCAG
rnacentral:lncRNA from 1 species